GUGCCAGCAGCCGCGGUAAUACGGAGGGUGCGAGCGUUAAUCGGAAUUACUGGGCGUAAAGCGCGCGUAGGUGGUUCAGUCAGUCAGAUGUGAAAGCCCCGGGCUCAACCUGGGAACUGCACCUGAUACUGCUGAGCUAGAGUACGGUAGAGGGUAGUGGAAUUUCCGGUGUAGCGGUGAAAUGCGUAGAGAUCGGAAGGAACACCAGUGGCGAAGGCGACUACCUGGACCGAUACUGACACUGAGGUGCGAAAGCGUGGGUAGCAAACAGGAUUAGAUACCCUGGUAGUCC
rnacentral:rRNA from 1 species